rnacentral:rRNA from 1 species
UACGUAGGGUGCAAGCGUUGUCCGGAAUUAUUGGGCGUAAAGAGCUCGUAGGCGGUCUGUCGCGUCGGCUGUGAAAACUCGGGGCUCAACUCCGAGCUUGCAGUCGAUACGGGCAGGCUAGAGUUCGGCAGGGGAGACUGGAAUUCCUGGUGUAGCGGUGAAAUGCGCAGAUAUCAGGAGGAACACCGGUGGCGAAGGCGGGUCUCUGGGCCGAUACUGACGCUGAGGAGCGAAAGCAUGGGUAGCAAACAGG